AGUGAACGCUGGCGGUAGGCCUAACACAUGCAAGUCGAACGGCAGCACAGUAAGAGCUUGCUCUUACGGGUGGCGAGUGGCGGACGGGUGAGGAAUACAUCGGAAUCUACUUUUUCGCGGGGGAUAACGUAGGGAAACUUACGCUAAUACCGCAUACGACCUACGGGUGAAAGCAGGGGAUCUUCGGACCUUGCGCGAUUGAAUGAGCCGAUGUCGGAUUAGCUAGUUGGCGGGUAAAGGCCCACCAAGGCGACGAUCCGUAGCUGGUCUGAGAGGAUGAUCAGCCACACUGGAACUGAGACACGGUCCAGACUCCUACGGGAGGCAGCAGUGGGGAAUAUUGGACAAUGGGCGCAAGCCUGAUCCAGCCAUACCGCGUGGGUGAAGAAGGCCUUCGGGUUGUAAAGCCCUUUUGUUGGGAAAGAAAAGCAGCAGGUUAAUACCCCGCUGUUCUGACGGUACCCAAAGAAUAAGCACCGGCUAACUUCGUG
rnacentral:rRNA from 1 species